UGCACCUGGGAGAAGAGAGGAGGCAUUGUCUGAGUUUCACCCCAACACACACACACACACACACACACACACACACACACACCCCGUCAGAGACUUACCAUGCUCAGUGCCCCCACUGUACACACAGCGAAACUGACAUUGAGGGAAGAGAACAAUUUGUCGCACAUCACUUGGUGAGUGGUGCAGAGACAGAAAUCAGGUCUCCUGACAUCCAGGCAUAAGCCAUGCAGUCACUUGUCACUGGUUCUGAACCCUUUCUGAGCAGGCCAGUAAGGCAGCUUUUUAGUGGCACCAAUUUCUCCCAGCCCAGAACAUAAAGACCCUUUGGAAUGUGACUCCAUGCAAAGGUGAAGGCUCUGUCCCCACCCCUCCAUCUGGGCUGACCUCCUGGCUUGCUGGACUAGUAGAUAUGGCCUGUGUUCUGCUGCCCAGGACCCGGGGCCUUACAGCAUCUGCCUUCACCCUGUUGGGGCCCAGCCCAGCUGCAAGGUCAGAAGCCCAGGCUGGGGAAGAGAGAGGCCUUGCUGUCUCUGCUGGCCCAUCAGUCAGAUGCAGCCGCACGAGCGAGCCCAACAAAGUGAGCAGAGCUGCUAGGUCAACCCACAGAAGCAGGAGAAUCAAUCGUGGCUUUAAGCUACUAAACUUGACAUGGUUUGUCAUGUAGCAAUAGAGACAAGAAGCAGCCAGGCUUAAAGAGUAAAAAAGCUAAAAAAAAGCAAUUAUUUGUCUAAUGUCAUUUCAGAAUCUUAGAAUCUUACAGUUGGGCCACCCCCUCUCAUAACCCCGAGGUUCUAGCCACCAGAGCCCCUGUAAUGCCUCCACUGAUCUGGGGGUGACAAGUGGCCAGCAAUGGCUCUGUCAUCUGGUGCUAUGUCCCCAGUACUGCACCACAGUAAUUGCUCCAAAGUUGCCAAAUGAAUGGAAGAAUGUGACCCAGCCUCUGUUUGCAUACCCGCAGGGAUGGGAGCUCACUCCCUCCAGGAUGAUGUCUUCCAUUAUGAAUGGCUUUGUCUGAAAGAAGAUUCUCCUCCAUCUAGAGCAGAGACCUUUGAUUCCCUCAGGGGUCCUGGCUAUCUUCCUAGGGUCCCCUCUUCUAUAGGACAGCCUUGGCACAUCACAGUGGUCUCUAGCAUUACAAAGCAGCACAACCUCGCUUAAUAACAAGUAUUUUUAGGUAUAUGGUGUCCCCGCCACAGACAGAACCCUAAGGGAAGUGCUUCCACCAGGCCCUAAAACAAGCAUGGGCUCUGGAUCACACAGUUCAGGGUUCUACUCCAACACAACUUCUGCUUGGCCUUGGAAAAGACACUUCAUGUUCCUGAGCCUCGGUUUUCUUACCUGAAAAAUAGGAGAAGUGAAAUUGACUGCCUGGGUUGCUGUGGGGCUUAAAGGGGAGAUGAUGUAUGUAAAAUGCUCAGCACGUAAUCGGUUCUUGAUAAAGGUUAGUUCCUUCUCUGCCAGGUACAUAAACAGUUCCAGAUGGAGAGCUCAUCUGUACUUAGCGUUCAUGUCUAUAUAAAUAAUGUGCAGGUGCGAGAGGAAUUGUCAGGUGGCCAGGGAAGGGGUAGGGUGUUCCUAGCAGGGGAGCAGCAUAAGCAGAGACAAGAAGAAGUUUGCUUUCAGAGAAGGGUAAGUGGGUGGUUUAGUGCUGCUGGCACGACGAGCAUCAGGAAGGAGAAUAAUGGGAGAGGAAGCCAGGCCCAUGCCACAGGGGGGCUUUCAGUGCUGGGCUGGGGAGCUUGGGCUUUGCCAAGGGAGGCAUGGAUGCAGUCUGAAGAGGGUAGGGUAAGGUCAGGUGUGGGAUUCAAGUCUGGGGUUGGAUGGGGAGGUGAGGGCAGAUGGAGCUCCUGGGAGCCUAUCAGGGGAAAUUGGGGUAGCAGCAGGAAUGACUUGGGCCAGUGGAUGGGAGGGGCAGCCUGGCCACUGGGGCAGCAGCUGAGCCAUCUGCAUGGGGACACCUGUUGUGAGAAGCAGGGCUCUUUGUCCUCUGGUCUAGCACCUCUGCCCUGCAUCUUCAGCACCAAGCCCUGUUGGGAAGAGCACUUUUUCUGUCCUUUUCAAUCUAGGAACAGACUGUGAAAGGGAACAGGGGAGAAGACCUGGGCUAGAUCUGUAGCCAGAAGGAUGCAGGGUAGACCAAAGGGGAACUGACUUACCUGUCUGUCAGAGAAGUCCCUCUCAAGGUCCGCUUGCUAAUUUUAUUAACCAUCCCAGACCUCAAACCAAGCUUUCCAGUUUCCUAAGCCCUGCCACACUUAUGGGCAGUCUCCUUUGAGCCUUGCCACUGGCUUGAGGGGGAGGCUGGGCAGAGGGGAUUAGCUCUGUUGUUAAGAUAGGGAGACCUAGGCCCAGAGAGGGCAAGUGACUUACCCAAGAUCACACAGCAAGUGCAUGGCAGAGCUAGCCUGGAACCCAGUUCUCCUGCUUCCCACUCAUAUCCUACUCCCUUUCCACAGCACUGAGGGACAGGCAGGACAUUCUCACUUACCUGCUCUGGGUGAAGAGUGAGGAGAACCAGAGAGAGGUUGACAGCCAUCAGCAGACAACACUUAACCCAAACUGACAAUUUAAUUGUGAAAAUGUGGACGAGGUAUAGUUAUGUGCAAGGAAAUCCAGACAGUCUGGGACCCUGGGGGACCCUGGCCAGCACCCCAGUUGCCGGGGAAACGGGAGAGGGUUGUGGAUGAUGUCACUAGAUUCCAAGGCUGAGGUCUGGGGGUGGGCUCUCCAUCCAGCUCUUUGGGGCUGUGGGCUCUCAUCCUCAUGUUUAACCCCUUCUCUUACAGAUGGGAAACGAGAGCUCCAGGGGGAGGUAGUGACUUGCCCAAGGUCACACAGGGACUCAGUGCCUGAACGAUCCUUGUUCAGGGGCCAUGUUAAUUCAUCUAGCCAGGCUGCAGCCCCCUGAGGGCAGGCUGGGGCAGAGUCACCUAUGAGUCCCCAAGCCCAGCACAGGACCUUGAGAAGGGUGGAUGUUCAACUCUGAGACACUGAGCCCCUUCAGCAAGGGACUGUACCUCCUUCUCUUCCCCAGCCUAACUGUGGACCUGAAUCAGGGUUAGGCUGAACAUGAUGAGUGACUGCAAUGUUGAAUAUCACCGUGGUGGGUCACAGAAAGUCAAAACAGGAAGGAACCCUGGAGAUCAUGAGAUAGUGCUGGCCUCCACUCAGCUGACAGCCUGUAUCCGUUCCUUCUUUGCCUGGUGAUUGUCUGUCUUCCCCACCACGGCAGCUCCAUGCAGGGUCUACUAAAGAGGAGAAGGCAUGGCUCUUGCCCAAGACAAGCUGACAGUCUGAGACUGGUGUGAGGAAGCCACUUGAUCAAGUCUAAGUCUUCAUUUUAUAGUUCAAGAAACCAAGUCUCAGAGGGGGGCAGGGACUUGUCCAAGGUCACACAGCCAAUCCACAGCCCAGACAGUGCUGGAUGCAGUCUCUGGAUUCCUGGCUGGGAGUAUUUCUACAAUAUCCUGCACUUAAACAGUUCCGUUUGGCGGAAGCUCUGCUGUUCUGGAAGAGACGCCAGGCCUUUCCAGAAUCCUGUCCAAGGCUGUCUUCCAGCAUCUGCUGUCAAGGCGCACUCCUUAGGGAGCAGCUGUUGGCAAAGUGAGGGGAGAUAUUGAUUAUG